rnacentral:rRNA from 1 species
UGCAAGUCGAGCGGAUGAGUGGAGCUUGCUCAUGAUUCAGCGGCGGACGGGUGAGUAAUGCCUAGGAAUCUGCCUGGUAGUGGGGGACAACGUUUCGAAAGGAACGCUAAUACCGCAUACGUCCUACGGGAGAAAGCAGGGGACCUUCGGGCCUUGCGCUAUCAGAUGAGCCUAGGUCGGAUUAGCUAGUUGGUGAGGUAAUGGCUCACCAAGGCGACGAUCCGUAACUGGUCUGAGAGGAUGAUCAGUCACACUGGAACUGAGACACGGUCCAGACUCCUACGGGAGGCAGCAGUGGGGAAUAUUGGACAAUGGGCGAAAGCCUGAUCCAGCCAUGCCGCGUGUGUGAAGAAGGUCUUCGGAUUGUAAAGCACUUUAAGUUGGGAGGAAGGGCAUUAACCUAAUAUGUUAGUGUUUUGACGUUACCGACAGAAUAAGCACCGGCUAACUUCGUGCCAGCAGCCGCGGUAAUACGAAGGGUGCAAGCGUUAAUCGGAAUUACUGGGCGUAAAGCGCGCGUAGGUGGUUUGCUAAGUUGAAUGUGAAAGCCCCGGGGCUCACCCUGGGAACUGCAUCCAAAACUGCGCAACCACAACAUGGCCAAGGUGGUGGAAUCUCC